ACAAACUCAAGCCCAUCAAGCAACAAAAGAUGGGCACAUUGACCUGAAUGGAACAUUACUUGGUAAUUCUUACACAAUGUAGCACCCACUUUACACUUAAAACUGUAGCAGCUC